rnacentral:misc_RNA from 1 species
GGAAGGAUCAUUAACACAAUAUCCAUUAACCUUGUGUGCACUGUAAUGUUUUUUAACGUUUACUCGAAUUAACUAGUCCUAGAAAUAGGAUACAAACUAAUCAAAACAACUGCUAGCAACGGAUGUCUUGGUUCUCGCAACGAUGAAGAACGCAGCAAAUUGCGAUAAGUAAUGUGAAUCGUAAGAUUCAGUGAAUCAUCAAAUCUUUGAACGCAAACGGCGCUCCUUGGUAUUCCGGGGAGCAUACCUGUUUGAGCAUCAAUAUUAAACUCAUAUCCUUUUGGGUAUGGUGAAUGAGCGUCAUGCAUUGCAUGUUGCUUGAAAUGAAUUGCAGAGUCAACCAACCAAUGGUGAGGACCUAGUCCAGCUGUUGGAUCUGGUGAAGCUCAAAGAUACCAAAUUUGAUCUCAAAUCAGGUAAGAUUACCCGCUGAAUUGAAGCAUCUCAUUAAGCGGAGGAAAAGAAACUAACAAGGAUUCCCUUAGUAAUGGCGAAUGAACAGGGAAGAGCUCAAACUUAAAAUCUGGGAGGUCUCCUCCCCGAAUUGUAGUCUAGAGAAGCGUUACCGGAGGCUGUCUUACGUCCAAGUCCUUUGGAAAGGGGCAUCAGAGAGGGUGACAAUCCCGUAUCUGGCGUGAGAACAGUUUCCAUACGGAGCGCUCUCCACGAGUCGAGUUGUUUGGGAAUGCAGCUCUAAAUGGGUGGUAAAUUCCAUCUAAAGCUAAAUACCGGCGAGAGACCGAUAGCGAACAAGUACCGUGAGGGAAAGAUGAAAAGAACUUUGAAAAGAGAGUGAAAAGUGCCUGAAAUUGCUAGCAUGGAAUCGAUUGAAACUGGUGAUCUGUGGGAGGGAUUUGGUAGUGACUUCCGUUCUGCGGAUUUGCUGCUUACUUCCCUUCUCAUAGAAGUCAACUCCCGUUACCGGCUCAGUUAUCGAUUGUGGGGAAGGUAGGUAGGUGCUUUCGGGUAUCUGCUGUUAUAGCUCCAUAGAUUGUGCUGGGAAGGAGACGAGGUCGUUGGUGCUAUAUCGGGGCUGGGUGCUGGUGCAUGCAUUGCGUGGGACUGCUUGCAGUGUCGUGUAGUGUGUGUAUCACCGUUUGGUUCAGAUGUGGUGCUGCUGUUGACGUAACGGUUUUAACCGUCCCGUCUUGAAACACGGACCAAGGAGUCUAACAUAUAUGCGAGUAUUGUGGUGGUAAACCAACAAUGCGCAAUGAAAGUAAAGGCCGCAAGGCUGAGGUGUGAGCCCGCAAGGGUGCAACAUCGACCGAUCUGGAGGUUUUCUGAAAGAUUUGAGUAAGAGCAUAUACGUUGGGACCCGAAAGAUGGUGAACUAUGCCUGAAUAGGACGAAGCCAGAGGAAACUCUGGUGGAGGUCCGAAGCGGUUUUGACGUGCAAAUCAAUCGUCAAAUUUGGGUAUAGGGGCGAAAGACUAAUCGAACCAUCUAGUCGCUGGUUCCCUC